rnacentral:rRNA from 1 species
UGGGGAAUAUUGGACAAUGGGCGCAAGCCUGAUCCAGCCAUGCCGCGUGAGUGAUGAAGGCCUUAGGGUUGUAAAGCUCUUUCACUGGGGAAGAUAAUGACGGUACCCAGAGAAGAAGCCCCGGCUAACUUCGUGCCAGCAGCCGCGGUAAUACGAAGGGGGCUAGCGUUGUUCGGAAUCACUGGGCGUAAAGCGCACGUAGGCGGACUUUUAAGUCAGGGGUGAAAUCCCAAGGCUCAACCUUGGAACUGCCUUUGAUACUGGAAGUCUUGAGUUCGGGAGAGGUGAGUGGAACUGCGAGUGUAGAGGUGAAAUUCGUAGAUAUUCGCAAGACCACCAGUGGCGAAGGCGGCUCACUGGCCCGAGACUGACGCUGAGGUGCGAAAGCGUGGGGAGCAAACAGG